CACCAAUGGAGAAAAUUCAAAAUGAAAGACAGGUCCAUCUGUGAGGUAGGAGAGUGCCCAGCAAGCAUCAGCAACAACCUCAUUAUCAGUAUAGUUUAUCAGCAGAAAAUGGCGGAGGUGGAUUCUUGUUUCGACAAAGGUUCGACACUGUCCAUGUGAUAUUUCUUAGAUAUGAUGGCUGCAAUGAUGAAGAUAGUUUAUCUCGUUCAUUCCAAGACAGAGAUUUCUUGAGAAUAAUACAUGCCUUGUAUCUGGAUUAUAAGUAUAUUUGUACAAGUACCUGCAAA